CGCGACAUCCGGUAUUCCAGACCCAGAGCCCCGCCCCGCGACAUCCGGUAUUCCAGACCCAGAGCCCCGCGACGCGACAUCCGGUAUUCCAGACCCAGAGCCCCGCCCCGCGACGUGGGGUCGCAAUAGAUCCCCCGCAUUCAUAGAUGUGCCCCACCCAGAGCACCACUUCCUCUGGAGCCCUUGGAUAACUUCAGACUUAACCCCAUCGAAGUAAUCCCCAUUAUUCUGAAGCACAACAUCUGUUGAAAGAACUCAAGCAGCAUCUAGGGAAGCACAGGUUGUCAUCGCUUUGGAGGGGUACAAGAGAGGUUUACCAGAAUACUGCCUGGAUUAGAGGGCAUAUACUGCAAUGAGAGGUUGGACAAACUUGAGUUACUCUCGCUGGAGGAGUGGAGUGGAGGGGGAGAUCUGAUAGAUGUCUAUAAAGUUAUGAGAGGAAUAGAUAGAGUGGUCAGUGAUUUUUCCAGGGUUGAAAUAUCUAAUACCAGAAGUCAUGCAUUUCAGGUGAAAGGAGAUAAGUUCAACAGAGAUACGAGGGGCAAGUUUUUUUUUAAGAAUGGUGGGUGUAUGAAAUGUGCUGUGGGGGGGGGCUUAGAUACAUUCGGGACUUUUAAUGGAUAUUUAGAUAGGCACAUGAGUGUGAGGGAAAUGGACAUUGUGUGGGCAGAGGGAUUAGUUUAGUUGGCCAUUUUAUUUAAUUGGCACAGCACUGUGGGACAUAGGGCUGUUCUUGUGCUGUGCUUAAAAUUGUACAGUGUUAUUAUUUCAGAGGAACUGUCCUAGACCCAGUACGUAAGUGCAAUUACGAACAAAGCACAGCAGCAUCUCUACUUCCUUGGGAGAUUGUGAAGAUUCGGUGUGACAUCUAAAACUUUGACAAAUUUCCAUAGAUGUGUAGUGGAGACUGUAUCACAACCUAGUAUGGAAACACCAAUGCACUUGAAUGGAAAAUCCUACAAGCUGUAGUGGAUACAGCCCAGUCCAUCAUGGGCAAAGCUCUCCCCACCAUUGAUUACAUUCAGAUUGACAACAACAUCCCCCUCCACAAUCCCCAUCAGACAGCACAGGUGCACCAUAAGGCUGCACUACUCAUUUUAUACUUAUGACUGUGAAGCUUAACAUAGCUCCAAUGCCACAUUCAAGUUUCCUGAUGAUACCACUGUCAUAGGCCCAAACAAAGGUAGGUAGAGACAAAUCAGCAUAUAGGACGGAGAUUGAAAAUCUAUCUGAGUGGUGCCAUAAAAAAGACCAAGGAGCUGAUUAUUGACUUCAAGAGGGAAGAACAGGUCCAUGAGCCUGUCCUCAUCAGCAGAUCAGAGGUGGAGAGCCUCAGCAACUUUAAAUUCCUUCAUGUUAUCAUUUCAGAGGGAUUUGUCUUGGGCCCAGCACGUCAGUGUAAUUACAAAGAAAGAAUGGCAGCACUUUUACUUCCUUAUGAGUUUGUGAAGAGUCAGCGUGACAUAUAAAACUCUGAUGAACUUCUGUAGGUGUGUGGUGGAGGGUAUAUUUAAUGGCUGCGUCACAGCCUGGUAUGGAAACACCAAUGCCCUUGAAUGGAAAAUCCUACAAAAAGAAGUGGAUACGGCCCAGUCCAUCGUGGGUAUAGCCCUCCCCACCACUGGACAGACAGACAGACAUACUUUAUUGAUCCCGAGGGAAAUUGGGUUUCGUUACAGCCACACCAACCAACAAUAGUGAAGAAAUAUAGCAACAUAAAACCAUAAAUAAUUAAAUAAUAAGUUAACCAUGCCAAGUGGAAAUAAGUCCAGGACCAGCCUAUUGGCUCAGGGUGUCUGACACUCCGAGGGAGGAGAUGUAAAGUUUGAUGGCCACAGGUAGGAAUGACUUCCUAUGACGCUCAGUGUUACAUCUCGGUGGAAUGAGUCUCUGGCUGAAUGUACUCCUGUGCCUAACCAGUACAUUAUGGAGUGGAUGGGAAUCAUUGUCCAAGAUGGCACACAACUUGGACAACAUCCUCUUUUCAGAUACCACCAUCACAGAGUCCAGUUCCACCCCCCACAACAUCACUGCUCUUACGAAUGACUUUGUUGAUUCUGUUGGUGUCUGCUACCCUCAGCCUGCUGCCCCAGCACACAACAGCAAACAUGAUAGCACUGGCCACCACAGCCUUGUAGAACAUCCUCAGCAUCGUCCGACAGUUGUUAAAGGACCUCAGUCUCCUCAGGAAAUAGAGACGGCUCUGACCCUUCUUGUAGACAGCAGUGUUCUUUGACCAGUCCAGUUUAUUGUCCAUUCGUAUCCCCAGGUAUUUGUACUUCUCCACUAUGUCCACACUGACCCCUUGGAUGGAAACAGGGGUCACCGGUGCCUUAGCCCUCCUCAGGUCCACCACCAGCUCCUUAGUCUUUUUCACAUUAACAUAUCUAUACAGGGCAUUGACACAGGAAAACAGCAUUGAUCAUCAUGGAUCCCCACCACCCAGGUCAUGCUCUCUUCUCGCUGCUGCCAUCAGGAAGAAGGUACAGGAGCCUCAGGAAUCACACCACCAGGUUCAGGAAUAGUUAUUACCCCUCAACUAUAAGGCUCUUGAACCAAAGGGGAUGACUUCACUUAACUUCACUUGUACCAUCAUUGAAAUGUUCCUACAACGUGUGGACUUACUUCCUAGGACUCUUCAUCCCUUGUUCUUGAUGUUUAUUGCUAAUUUUUUAAUUUAUUUGUUGUUAUUAUUUUUAUUGUAUUUUCACAGUUUGUUGUCUUUUGCCCACUGAACGUCUGGCUAUAUUCUUUGGAGUUCAGGAGAAUGGGGGGGGGGGGGGAGGUAUCUCAUUGAGACAUUUCCAAAUUUAAAAGGCCUGAACAGAUUAGAUAUGGCAAAGUUAUUUCCCAUGAUAGGGGAUUCUAGGACAAGAGGGCACAACUUCAAGAUUAAAGGACAUCCUUUUAGACCUGACAUGUGGAGAAAUUACUUUAGGCAGGGGGUGGUGAAUCUGUGGAAUUUGUUGCCAUGACUGGCUGUGGAGGCCAAGUCAUUGGGUGUAUUUAAGGCAGAGAUAGAUAGGUUCUUGAUUAGCCAGGGCAUCAAAGGGUAUGGGGUGAAAGCAGAGGAGUGAGGAUGACUGGAAGAAUUGGAUCAGCCCAUGAUCGAAUGGCGGUGCAGACUUGAUGGACUGAAUGAUCUGCUUCUGCUCCUAUACCUUAUGGUUGUACACCCAGUUGAUGCAGUCUUUCAUUGUUUUGUAUGGUUAUUGGAUUUCUUAAGUAUGCCUGUAAGAAAAUGGUCACAUAUAUGUACUUUGAUAAUAAAUUUACUUCCAACUUUUAA